rnacentral:rRNA from 1 species
UACGGGGGAAAAAUUUAUUGCUAUUAGAUGAGCCUAUAUUAGAUUAGCUAGUUGGUGGAGUAAUAGCCUACCAAGGCAAUGAUCUAUAGCUGAUCUGAGAGGAUGAUCAGCCACACUGGAACUGAGAUACGGUCCAGACUCCUACGGGAGGCAGCAGUGGGGAAUAUUGGACAAUGGGCGAAAGCCUGAUCCAGCCAUGCCGCAUGAGUGAAGAAGGCCUUUGGGUUGUAAAGCUCUUUUAGUGAGGAAGAUAAUGACGGUACUCACAGAAGAAGUCCUGGCUAACUCCGUGCCAGCAGCCGCGGUAAUACGGAGAGGGCUAGCGUUAUUCGGAAUUAUUGGGCGUAAAGGGCGCGUAGGCGGAUUAGUAAGUUAAAAGUGAAAUCCCAAGGCUCAACCUUGGAAUUGCUUUUAAAACUGCUAAUCUAGAGAUUGAAAGAGGAUAGAGGAAUUCCUAGUGUAGAGGUGAAAUUCGUAAAUAUUAGGAGGAACACCAGAGGCGAAGGCGUCUAUCUGGCUCAAAUCUGACGCUGAGGCGCGAAGGCGUGGGGAGCAAACAGGAUUAGAUACCCUGGUAGUCCACGCUGUAAACGAUGAAUGUUAAAUAUGGGGAGUUUUACUUUCUGUAUUACAGCUAACGCGUUAAACAUUCCGCCUGGGGACUACGGUCGCAAGAUUAAAACUCAAAGGAAUUGACGGGGACCCGCACAAGCGGUGGAGCAUGUGGUUUAAUUCGAUGCAACGCGAAAAACCUUACCACUCCUUGACAUGGAAAUUAUACCUAUUCGAAGGGAUAGG